GUGGGGGGGGGGGAACCCUGGGUAGACCCAGUUCAUUCUUCCUAGUAACAUUUGCUUGCUACCACGGCAGGAUGUGGGUUUUGGGAGUGAGAGUUCAGCCACCAAAGCCGUUCAGGGUGCAACCCUGGCACUUCGGUGCAUAGACAUGUCCGUGGUGGUGACGGUCUUGUGGUUGGCAUGUGCUCUGUGUAGGUGACAGCGUUGCGGCUGACAUACUCCAGGAAGACCUUCAGCACCUUGUGGGUCUCCUUGCUGAUGAGGCCAGAGAUGCACUUCACGCUGCCACAGCGAGCCAGACAGUGCACGCCUGGCUUGGCAAUAGCUUGGAUGUUGUCGUGGAGUAGUUUGCGAUGGCACUCGGUGCUGCCUUGCCCCAGCCCGACACAGUAAAAGACACGCCAUGGUCUGAGCCAGUGAAUGGCAAUACUUUCGUUCUUACCAAUUGGGCAGGCAGAGAAACUGAACCCAAAUCUUCUGAGGUCCAGUACAAGACUUGGCUCUAGAAAGUAGGUUUUAAUUUCAGGCUUCCAGGGACCUGCUAAAAUAUUUGAAAGGUCAGAGAGAAGAAUUGGAGAAGUUAGGAGUUUGCCAGGCACUUUGCAAAUACCAAGUUACUCUGGUGCAGAUAACAUCACUCAACGUUCGGAGUUCGUACACAGCGUUCAUUUGAUGGAGCGCCCCUUCUCUCUCUACCUGUUACAAAUGAUUUUAUAACUUUUCUUGCAAGUUUUUACUCUACAGCGAGAGACAUGAGAGCAGUCAUUUUUGUGGGUAUGUUUACAUGGCAUCAGUCAAAUUAUAGUAUAUCUUUCUCCUAUUUCAACUGCAGGUGGAUUGACAGUGCUUGAUAGAAAGCUGUGGAUUGUUUGUUGUAUUGCUCUAAGUGUACGCUGCCCAUUCCCAGUAGGCACCUUUGCUUUUCCGUGCCUUUCCAUGCCUGCGGACAAAUACAGACAAGGGGACAAGCCAUGCUGCCUGGUGUAUCUACUAGACGGUGAAUUGGUACCUGACUAGUUCUGAUUGAUUUUAAUAUCCUCCUCUUGCUUUUCCAUGCUGUCUCAGCUGGACUGUGGCGUCUCUUUCGUUCUCCGCCUUUCUUCAUUGUCCACGCACAGCCGUUGAUUUCCUUGCUGUGUUCCUGGUUGGUAAUCCUUUACACAGCUGCCAUGACAACAACAUCGCUUAUGAUGAUUCCUGUCAAGAUUUAAAACUUAAGUACUCAUUUUCUUUCUUAUUUAGGCAUCUCCUGGUGCUGAACAAAAUGGGAGGAGAGGGUGAAGUGGAGAGAGCUGUGCACAUCUUGCAGGUCAGGGUGAUCCUAGGCAAGGGGAAGUUUGAGGGCCCUGUGAUUUGUACUAUUCAAAAAACAAACGAAUAAAAAAAAUCAGGCGCCGCUGGAUGUUGGCGUUAUCGUAGUGAUUGAGUCUCUACUUCCCGAAGCAAAAUGCUCUAGCUGCUCUAAAAUCCUAAUAUUUUAACCUUAUAAUGUAUAAAUAGCAGCUGAUAAAGUAAUAGUGUCUGGAUUUUUUCAGGUGUUCUUGCCUGCCUUUGCUUUUUCUGACCCACUUUCCUUUUGUCUCCUUUUUAGCAUAGCAGUAAAAAAUCAAAUGCUUUUCAAAGCAGGACCUUUUUCUCCACCUAUCCAUCUUUUUCCUUGUCUCAGACUUUAGUUACUCCUACCAAAUCAGCUCAGACCUUUGCUAGGAUAGUCGUUCUUCCUCCCACUUACUUACCUCUGGAACUAGAGGCACCGUUUAUUUGGUUGCUAGCACAGAAUUGCCUCCAUUAGGACAGCUUUGAGGCUGCCAGUUGGCCAAGAACAAGCAUUUUCACUAGUGCCAGUAUCGAGUAUUCCUUCCAGCUGUGAAGGAUGGAGUUUAAAUGAUCAUCAUAAAAAUUUAUAGAGCUAUAAGGUUUCCAUAUUGUUCUCUAAUCCCUUUUGAGUCUGUUCUUAGUGGCUCUUGUCCACUUGAGAUACCGUGCAUGUCAGACUUGGCAGAUGUAUUACUUGAGUCUCUUAGGGCUGGAUCCUUUUCCACCCAUUCGGCAUCCAAGCACAGUCCUAUUCCACCGUGCUCGAGCCCUUGAAAACCAAAAAAGCAUCGCUUUUUGUGAACUGCUUUCUUUGUUGCCUGCAGACGACAUCUCAAAAAGCAGCGAGGAGGACUCGCCCACCUCUUUGUGUUAUUGGUUUUUCAGGGACUUGAGCGUGUUGGGAUAGGAUCACACUGAGAUACCUCCAUACCACUUAGAUGUCAAGGGAAUGGAAUAAGAUCAGUCCCUUCAUCUUUUUGUUGCCGCUUCAGCAGUGUCAGUGCUCAGCGUCCAUCUAAUUUUGUUUACAGUGGUGGUUUUUAAUAUACAUUAAAGGAAAAAUAUUAAUUUGGGAUUAGAAGUUGAUAUCUGUGCCAGUGGCUCAUCACUUGUAAGAAAUUCUGCACUACAUACCAGCAACCAUGCAUGGCACCACUUGGCACUGCUGUAGGAGAGUCCUGCCAAGGAGAAAUGAAAGGGGGGGAAAAUGUCCUUGCGUGUGCUUUUUGCUUACCUCAGAUUUGCAGUUUACCUUGCAUAGAUGGUCACUUUUUCUGGUGUGUUGUAAAUCAGAGGAAAGCUGCCUCAAAAAUAGGAAUACGGUCUAGAAAAAUGGCAAGGGCUGACAAGCGGAGUGUAAUAGGUUUGGUAUUAGGAGGUUGCAAAUUGAGGAUAGAGUGGAUACUUGAAACCAGAUUGAUUUAAUAUUUUUAUAUUGCUUCAGGGGUGCGUAUCUCUCCAGGAGGAUGCCGGAGACUAUUAUUGCAAUCUCUCUUCUUUUUGCAUGUGUGGGUUCAGAGGAGAAGUAAUUGGAUUCUCUACCUUUCUCCCUUUGUCACAGUGACCUAAUCCAGUUGUGAUUGUGUGGGUUUUUUUGGAAGCAAGGACAUACUUGUGUAUCAGAAAUAGUGUUAGCUACAAACUGACUCGCAGUAAUUUAGCACGACAUAUUUAUUUUUGCUCGCUGCAAAAACUGUGCUAAUUCCUACUAGUUUUUGAUCUCCAGGUAUGUUGUGGAUAAACCAGCCAAAAAAGGUUACAACCCUUUGGAUUUGCUUUUCUUUUGUGAAUAGUUGCACCGAUUUGGCAGUUGAGUGACAGAAAUGAUAAAUGACUUGGGAAUUUAUUUGUCUGUGUAUAGCUUCUGAGUAUGAAUAAUGCCAUCUCAUUAUGUCCAGCAGCUCAUGAGCUGCUUCAGGGCCAUGUAAAGGCAUUGCUUGUGCUGAUGUAGAGUCUAUGAUUUUUUACUUCUGCAGUCAGGCUAUAAUGCUUUAUGUUGGGCACGUCUACACAUGCAUUUGUGUGCUUAAAUUUAAUGCACAUUAAGUGGGUUUAGUCAGGUGUCUGCACAUGCAGGCAUUGAAACGCAUUAAUGCUGCAUGUGAACUGACUUGGAACCAAAGUUAGUCCCAAGUUAGUCCACACACCCAGUUAAUGCGCUUUAACGUGUCUACACCUGUAUUAAUAUGCUUUAACUAUUUGUGCCUAAAUUUGAUACCUGCAUUUGCAGGUGUUAAAUUUAGGUGCAGUUAGCCUCAAAUCGCCGUUUUUAAAGCGCAUUAAGGGUACGCAUGUGUAGAUGUACACCCUAAUGCACCUUAAAUUGUCUCAUGUCGACAUGCCUGCUGAAAACAAAAGGUACAGAAACUGUGUGGUUAGGGUUUAAUAGCAACAUAGCCCUGUGCUUUUUCAGUUGAUUCAAAUUCAGCUUAGUGUGGGGGUCUAAUAAAAGUGGCAUCAGGAGUUGGCGAUUCAGUGGGGCAGGUGAAACGAUUUGAGGAGGUCUUGUUCCAUACAUGCUGCUAGUCGUGUUUCAGAUCUUACCAAGUCUAAUGGUACCCAUCAGCAUUCAUGUUGGUAGUUGUAUGGGGCAGGCCUGGGCUGGAGAGGAGGUGGAGUGUGAACUGCAGCUUUUACUCCCCCAUAUCAAGAGUGGGCCUGCCAGGUCAGGACUAGCACCGUGCAUUGUUGCCAGUCAGCUUAGUGCCCAAGGUCUGUGUUGGACACCUGUUUUUACACCUUGGCUCAUUGCAUAUGUGAACAGGUGCCAGCAGAAGCCCUCAUCACAGAUGCAGUAAUUCUGCAAAACAGUACUUAAUACCAGCACUGUUUUUUGGGUUUUUUUCUGGGAAUUACUUUAUACCUGCACAAAAUACAGCUGUGUCCACAGUAGGAGAGCCUUGCCAGCAUUGUAUCGCAGUUUCCCAGGAAAGUGCUUCUAAAGUAGACAUGACCCAGCCUUAUACCAAUAAGUAAUAGCCUUAUUUAAUUUACACUUACCUUUAUUUAAGAAUCAAGCUUUUCUUAAAGUCACUUAUAUUUUUCCACCCUUUAAGAAAAGUUUGAUUCUUAAAUAAAGGCAAGUGUAAAUUAAAUAAGGCUAUUUGCCAGCUUAUAUAAGCCUGUGGGGUUACUGCUUCUUUCAGCACUGCCCCCUCCCUUCCUCCACUCCUAUCCCUCUCUCCCCCUUACCUCUUCUUUUCUAUUCUAAUUUUGCUCUCCUUGUACUCUGCUUUCUGUACAUCCUUUUACAGCAUCUGGUAAAAAGAGCGUCAGCUCAUGAAAGCUUAUGAUAUAUAUAUCUACUUGGGUUAGUCUGCGUGGUACAAAUCUACCCUGCAUUCAAAUGAUACUAAAGCCGAACCUCACUCUAAGCUAUUAGUCAUCUAAAUUAAGUAAGUAAUAGUUGAGCAGUUAAUGUUUGCUGCUCAAGUUUUACAGAAGGUCACACAACUGAACUGAGGGAGUUGAUGGUUAAGUAUCUGGAACAAGACUUGGUUGAAAUAGGAAGCCAGGUAUUAACAUCAGCAACCACUUCUACAGGUGGAGAGAGACUAUUUUCUUCAUUGCAAUGUAUUGAGUAAGUUCAGUGCAAUGUCUGGUUUAUUCUGAGCUGCAAAACCUAUUGGGAACUGAAGAAGGAGGCAAGUUUGUUCUCUUCCGGUCUGUGAAUGAAAAUUAGGUGCAAGGGGUUGUGGUCUUCUGGUCUUAAAAUCUUGAAAGAUGUGGUAAUCGGAAACGAUCUGUUCAGUUCCCAAACUAUAAUAACACUUCUUUGUUGUUUUAAUAACUUGAUUUUAAAUACAAAACGCAUCUUUAUAAGCAAACUUUUUUCUUAUGUACCCACCACGUUAGAUAUUUAAUUUAAAAAGGCUGGUUUUGAGCCUUUUUAAUGAAAUAUCAGUUUCAAGUUCAACAUGUAAAAAAUAAGCUAGUAAAUAGAUGCAUCACUUACUAAUUUGUAGCAUUAUAAAAAUGUAAAAACUUAAAUUGAAAUAAAUUCCUGCAAAGCUGUAUAUUUGCAUAAAUACAUGUGUGUAGAUGUUAUAUCUCCUAGUUAGGGAAAAGUUCCUGAUUAAGUGUAAAGGCUAAAUUUAUCAUCUUGAAUAGUUAUCAUCCAAGGGAAAGCAAACUUCUUUAAAGCAGAAAUGGAAACUGUGAUUUAAAACUGUUAUUUCAAUUAGCAUUGAGAUCAGUCCACUCUUCAAUACUAAAAUGUGUCUCCAAAAUUUUCUUUUAGAAUAACGUUCAGUAUCAUAUGUUGGCAGUAAAUAGCACAAAUUACUUGUCUACUGAAAAAUGUAAAACCUUUUUAUAUUGACCUUUUCUGUGAGUUGGCUUCUGCGUUCACAGCUCACUGAGUAGCCAAGGCAAAGAAAAAUAAUGUUCAAGGCAUCUUUUCUUGAGGCUGAAGGCUUCUAGUGUGGUGUUGCUUUGUUCAUUGUGAGGCAUGUACUUUCUUUCUCUAGAAGCUAUGUGACGGGGAGGAUUUGUGAAACCUGCUGAAGAGAAGAGGCCAUAGUGAAGCGAAUCAUUGAUGAACACAUUUUAAAAGGAGGGACAGUUUUGUACUGACUUGCAUCGUGAAAGUUAUGAAAAGGAUAGUAGGGUUGUAGGUUUUUUGUAACUGUGAUUGUUCAGGACAUAUAUAUGAGAGCCAAGGUUUUUUUUGUGAUAUUUUUUUUUUAUUGAACCCAACUGUAUAGUUGGUCCUCCUUUGAGCAGGAGGUUGGACUAGAUGUGACCGCCUGAGGUCCCUUCCCACUCUCAUUGUCUAGGAUCCUAAGAGAGAGGUUUGACAAGCUUUGGGGUACAAAGCACCCUUCUUCAGGUCUUAGAAAGCAGCAGGUACAGACUGAGCUUAGGGUUCUGGCUUCUCUUGUGUGUAAUGGAUCUAGGUGCUCAACCCCGUUACUGCCAUGACUUCCCAACCCCAACCCAGCAGUGUCUGAAAGCCAUCCCAUGUGAAAAAAUAAUCUCUUGUUUUAUAAGAGUAUCACUGAAGACCAUAGGCUGUGCCCUUAGAGUCGAAGAUGAGUCUGUGCGGUUGUUGUAGUAGUGUUUUCUGUGUGUCUGACUAGAAGGUGAUUUUACCAUACACUGGCAAAUGAGUUAAGCUUCCAUAAAAUAUUAAGUUUAAACAAAAAAAAGUUUGUGGCUAAGAAAAAGCCACUAAAGCACGGUGUAAUAAAAAAAAAAAAAAAAAAGGUUGAAAUGGCAGUUAGUAUGAUAUGCAAGAGACCCUAUUCUGUCUUUUCAGGGCAAUAAUAUGCAAAUAGUCAGUGCAGUAAUACAGCUGGUUGGCUAAACCAUGAUCUCUUCAAUGACCCGAAACUUAAAAAGGUGUUUUUUAAAGUGGGAACUUGCCUUCAUUGCUAAGGGUGAGGAUAAGAGUAAAAUAGAAACAGGUAGGGACAAAAUUAGAGAAGCCAAAGCACAAAUGGAGAGAUGGCUAGCAAGGAUGGAUCAUAAAACAUAACAGAAAGCAUUUAACAAAUGUAUUAGAAGUGAGGAGGGGCAAGGAAAGUGGAGGUCCCUUACUAGGGAGAAGGGAAGCUAAUAAUGGACAAUGAAGUAGCUCGAAGUACUUGGUGAUCCUGUAUUUAUUUCACAAAAAUGCUUUGCUGUCAGGUGAUGAGAACAGUUUGUCUCAAGGACAAGGGAAGGGGGGUAAGUACUUCACCAUGCAUGUAAAAAAGAACAAGUUAAUGAUUAUUUGGAUAGGCUAAAUGUUUUCAGAUCAUCAUGGUCUGAUGAGAUUCAUCUUGCGGUACUUGAAGAAUGGGCUGAAGCAAUUGCAGAGCCAUAGGAUAUGUUCUGUCUGACAGGUCCCGGGGGUCGUGUGAGGUUGCAGAAGACCGGAAAAGGGCGAAUAGAUUGCCCAUAUUUUAAAAAUGUAAAAUGAAGGAUGCAAAGAAUUACAGAUGGGACACGCUAACUGCAAUAGCCAGAGAGAGAUUGGAGCACAUCUCCAAUGAAUUAAUUUGGAAGCACUUAGUAACAGGGUGAUAAGGCAGCACCAAUGUGAAUUUGUUAUAAGUAAAAGCCCUUUAAGUAAUAUAAUUUCUUUCUGGGACAGAAAUGCAGUUUUCACCUAUGUAGACGGGGGAGCAGUAGAUGGGAUGCAUCUUGAUGUAGUAUGGCUUUUGAGAUGGUCUCUUUUGCCAUUCUCAUUAAUAAGCUAAGGAAGGAUGAUCUAGAUGAAACCACCACAAAAUGGCUAUACGCUGGCUUUGCUAAUAGUGCACAGAGUAGCGAUCAGUGGCUUGGUGUUAAGCUGAGAGGAGGUAUUAAGGGUGGGGGAUUUCGCAGGACCCCGCGGUGGAUCCACCAAUGUUCAGUGUCUUUGUUCAUUUUUUGGAUGGUGAAGUUGAGUGUAUGCGUACUACCAAAUUUCUGGAUGACUGAUCUGAGCAGACACACGAGGCCGGGAUUAAGAUUAAAUGCUGCGGAUAAAUGGGGGGAAAUGGUCUGCAAUAAAUGGAAUGCUAUUCCUUAAAGAUAACUGUAAAGAGAUGCCGUUAGCAAGGAACCAUUACAUGCAUAAAUACAGAAUGGGGAACGACGGGCUAAAAUGCAGAAGAUUUGCUGGGGGGCCCUUAAUUGUUUACAAGCUGAACACGUCGUCAGUACAACACUGGGGAGCGGAGAGUUAAGAGAGUUAAGAGAAGCGUUACAUACACAUCAUGGGAAGUAAUCCUUUCGCUGUAAUUCAGCAAUGGUGAGACUUCGCCUGCAGUAUUGCGUCCCUGCAAUUUAAGAGAUGGGUUCGCCAGCUGGAGAUAGCCCAGAGGAGAACAGCAAGAAGGAUUCGAGGCCUCCAAGGUGUGGCAUAAGGAAAAGUUGUAAGAAUUCGCAUGGUCUAGUCUAGAGAAGAGAAGAGCGAGGGGGAAGAUUUGAUAACAGCCUGCAAAUACAAAAAGGGUCGUUGUAGGAAGAGGAUGCCAAUCAGUUGUUCAUUUUGUCCAGUGGAGACUGGACAAGAAGUAGUGGACUUAGAUUGCAACAAGGGAGAUUUAGGUUAGAUAAUAGGAAGAACUUUAUAACUAUGAGGGUGGCUAAGCACUGGAUUUCCCAGAGGUGAGUGUUGUGCAAGCUUUGAAGCGUUAGUUAAACGCUUGGCUGGGAUGGUUUAGACGGGGAUGAUCUUGCCUUGAGCGGGGGUUGCGGGGGAGGCAGCGACUUCUCUAGUGAUUCAGUGACUCAAGGAUAGGAAAAUAUCUUUCUGCCUGCAAAAUUUUCCAAUUCAGUUUUUGAACUUUAGUCUCUCAUGAUUUGCAGCAUUAGUUUACGUGAACAAUAAUUUGUAAGUUUUUUGAACCUAAAAGUUAACAUUUAAAGCUGAGAAAUCAAGUUCCUCAAGUUAAGAAAUUAAAAAUAGUGAAGUCUUUUUAAGAAGAAAAAUUCCUUUUGGUCUCUCAGUCUCCAUGUGAUGGAUCCAAGUUCUUGAAAGAACGUGUGCAUGGAAGGGCGCCAGAAAUCAAUCUGUUGGUUUUCACUUUAAGUAUCAGGAAUGUGAGUUGGUCAUAUUUUUUUUUUUUUUAAUUUUAUUUUUGACCUGAAGAGCUUACAACACCUGACUGCGUUUAGUGUGAACUUGCAUUUACAUGUGAUUUUAGUAAGUGAUAUUUAGUGGGACUCUUUGUAAACUUGUCAAUCAUUCUUGGAGCGAGAUGGGUAUUAAUAAGAACAGCAAAAAAGCUGUGGUAUGGGCAGAGCUCUGACUCUGUUGCGUGGCAUAUGCGCUAUAUUUUGCUUAGCCCCAAUGAAGAGAAAUGCUUCUGUCAUUCCCUUUCAAGAGUAAUGUCAAGUGCUCAGUCCCUAUAAAAAUCAAGUUACUUAAGUAUAGUUGUCACAUCUUCCUGUGCAGUCAGUCCUAUAAAAAUAUACAGAAGUCACGUUAACUUUCUAAGCUUUGAAGAUUCCUAAAUAUUGAGUUCUGGUUUUUGUCAGGUUUAUGCUAGUGUCCGUCUCUUUCCAGAAAUGCUAGAAAGCCCUUGGAAACACUUCAGCCGCCUGGCCGCCUAAGGCUAGGUUUAUGCAUUAGAAGGAAAAAUGAGGAAAAAAAUGUACAUCCUAUGUGUUAAUUUGGAGCUUCAAAAAUAUACUGAGCAGUCUUUCUUCAAGGCUGGAUCCUUUCUUCCUCAAUGAAGACCAUGCAAAACCAGUCACAUUUUGUGGUUUCUUUUUUCAGGUGUUUUCUAAAGAUUUUGGUUGAAUCGUACGGGGGAAGUGCUCCUUCCAUACUCGCGCAACUCAAGAAGCUUGUGGGCCUCGAGGGACAGAAAUGCUGAAAACCGCCAGACUUUUAUCUGCAAUAUAGACUCUAUAUCAGGGGUUGGUGACGUUUUUGGGCAGAGCUCCAAAAACACCCGCAGCCUCAACUUUGUAAGAUGUUGGCAUGCCAGGGACGCCCGGCGGGGGGAGCCGCCAGGGGCCUGAUCCUAGUUGCGGCAGCACAGCCCUGGCCCCUUCCCCGCUAUCCAUGCAUGUGCCUUCACGUGGCAUGGGUGCUGUAGGUUGCCUGCCCCUGCUCUGUAUUAUGGCUUGCACUGGUAAUGUCUUAAGUAAAAAUUCUGGGUAAUGUUCUUUAAUGUAGGCAAAGCCUGUUUGUACGCUGUAUGGGAGGUGCUACGGAGUAGAGGCACAAAACAAAUUAUUGAUAAAAGAAACACAUGAGCUGUUGCCUAUCUGGGGGGAAAGUCUCGGGAUUACGAAGCCCCUGGCUAACGUGGCAUGGGUCAGAGGUUGCGUGCUGGGUAAGUACCUGGAUUCCCAGGUACCGCAGAAGGCAGCCAGAGGCAGGCGUGGUGCUUGGGUUGGUUAUAUCCACUUGCACAUGUCUCUGCCACUUCAUUGGAGAAAAACACAUUUCACUCUAGCUCUCAGGCUGUCAAAAUAGUUCUUUUAAAUGUGCUUUAUAACCUGUGAUUUUGGGGCUAGCGUUUAAAGCGUUUUCCAUAAGAUUGCAAUAAGCAAAUAAAUGGCUACUAAUAUUGUAUCCAUCAGAGUCCUACUUGCCAUAAACUUCAUCAUAGCUGUCUUCAGUUGAAAGCUUGAUUUCAACUUUGACAUUUUAAAAAUCUUUUAAGAAGCAAACUAUCUUCUAUCAGGUGGGGUGAGACUAAAGUAGAUCCGUGUACAAUGUUAUGGGAAUGUGUUCUUGUAUUUAUAUAAUGCAAUACAGGAAAUUUACUGGAAAGAAGGUUGCCGUAACAGUCUUGGGUUAGAUUGCGUGCUAUCACAAAAAACAUAGGUUUAUAUCGUAGUUACUGUGAUGUCCUUGGACUUUUCUGCCUUUUUGUUGUGCUGUUUUCUCUUUCAAAUCUAGUCCUAUGAAAUUUUUGAAUGAGUUGAAAGCUAGAGUAGUAGGCAGCUAAUGAACGAACUUCAGGCUAAAAACAGGUUACUUGUUAUUUCUGGAAGCUGUUGUAUAUUGUUGAUGUGAAGUGUAGGAAGGGUGUUUUGAAUUUAAUUUGUGGUUGGCAGCAUCACCUGCUACCUCUCAACUUAAAAAUGCUGUGCAAGAAAAUAGUUUUCCCAAGAUGCAGCAGACCCGGGUGCAGGUCAGCUUAGCUUCAUCGUGUUAUGUUGAAAGAGCAGCUUGUUGCUGCAAGCUCAGUUUUCUCAUUGCUGGCUGAAGUACCAUGACAGUGAAAGCACCUUACUACUUUUUCUCCCACCAGUAUCAAUUAACUUCAGAUAAGAUUCUGAGAAUAUAUCAGAUUUAUAGUAGAGUAAACCUAAGCUUGUUCCUUAUUGCUCUGCUCUGUUAAUACUUUAAUUCUCCUUCCCCUCUUGCUAUCGUAUUUUCUUGGGUACAACACAAUGUUUUCCCAUAAACCAGCUGCUGAAAAUUAGGGUGUGUAUUAUAAGUGAGGAAAUAUAGUAAGCUCACUUAGCCGGCAAAAGGGCGAGUAAAGUCUGCAGGGAGCAGGCUCAGCUCCAUAGCUGCUGCUACUCGGUUACUUACUAGAAGCAAAAAUCUUCUAUUUCUUCAUUCUGCCUUUCAAAAACAAGGUGUGUAGCUUACUCGGGGCUGUGUUGUAUGCAAGAAAAUAUGGUAUUUGCUCAAAUCAUAGAGAACUGCUGCGAGUUAGACUUCAUUGAGUGUAAAUACUAGGUCAGAAUUAUCCUCUUUCUGGAGUCCUUUUACCAUUUUGGCUUUCCUCAACUGCUCAGGUACUGCCCAGUUGACACAGAAAACACGUGUGGCUGGAUUGCGAGAUGGAGAAGAAGUGGGGAGAAGGAGUUGUUCUCCCAGCGUGCAUUUCAACACCUGAAUUGUUGGGCAUAAACUAAAGAUUUACUGGCAAACUUACUUGUCAAGUGCUAGUACCUUGUGGUGGUGUCACUAAAGCCAGCUGCGUCCAUGUUUUAUAUAGAAGUCUCUGUCAAUGGUUUCUUUUAAAAAAAGAAAAGAGGAGGGAGAGUAAACAGUUGGCUAUAAAACGGGAAACAUUUCAGACCUGCGCCGUGUCCAUUUACUAAAUCUGGGCUUGUGUCUUUGCCUGCUAACCGUUCCUCAGACUGCUCAAGGCUUGCAGCUUUUUUUAAGCGCGGGAUCUUUCUGCACAGGACUUAUUUUGACCAUUUAACCUCACUAAACGCUAGGGACUCUGCCCGGGAAUUGGGGACUAUCUAGCAGCAUCCCAUUAUGGAACAGCUUUCUUGCUUGCCAGAAGUACAAAAGGUGUUAAGUGCUGAGACUGUUGUGGUCAUUCAUUGCAGGAGAGUAGAUGAGCUGUGGGCAUUCAUACGUUUGCCUGGGAAAUCUGUAGUGAACUGAGAUAUUCUAUUAGAAAUGGAAGCAAAGUGGGUAUUAAUGUUCCUUGCUGCCAAAGUGACUGCCCUUUCUUUAAGGCUCUCUGCAUGUGUGCUUUUUCUGGUUUUAGGAGUCCCUGUUACCUCCUCUGCACCUUGUCGUAUUGUGACGCGCUAGAGACAACGGGGUAUAGUCACCCGAACAUCACAUUGCCAAACCCCUGGGUUGCAUCGCCAGCCUUGCACCGAUGUUAUGACUCUAGGGGCGCGUCUACACAUCGCCGUACAGCGACAUAGCGACACGCUAUGUAGCAAUCGUGUGUCUGCACUGGAUUGCAGCUACAUUACUGUAGUGGCACGCUCCCCAGGUAUAGCACACUGCUACAGCGACUGAACAGCAAAAUCUACCCUGUGCCACACACGGUGCAGUAACCACUUGUACGGCACGGUGCUUCAGUACUUCCAAAAGGAAGCAGCAAAGCAUGACACUGUAGCAAUGGUACUAUAAGGCAACAUGUAGACACUCCCUGGGUCAAGGUACAUAACAGUUCUUUGCCUCAGUUUACCCUCCCAGGUGGUGUUGAGACUUAUAGUCAAGCUUUCAAAAGUACUGUCGAAGCUUGAGCACCAUUUUAAACUAAAUUGUUAAUUCAGGCCUUUGUAAAAUACUUGAGUCUGACUUAGUCUAUAAGGUGGAAACCUACCCUGCCUUCUGCCCAAGUCACCUUGAACGUGGAUGUUGGAAUGACUAUCUCGGUACGUGCCAUCAUAGCAGUGGUGCAGAGCAGCGUAGGCAUGUCUGUGUGGGGUUCAAGCAGCCCACUUGGGCGUCGGGAGUGGUGGAGCAAUGCCAUCGGGGAAGCUCGCUGACCCUGCCUGCUGAAGUCCCUCUGUUCCUGGGACUAGACACCCGGCUGCCUAGCUCUGAUCUCAGUACGUCUACAACGGCAUGCCCCGAACCUACUAAGUCAUGUUAGUGCUUCUGAAGCCUUAACCCCGAAUCUUUUUCAUUGCUUGGAGAUCCUUGAAGGAUGAAAGCCAUAGCAGCGAUGUGUACAUUAGCAUGUGCAGGGCACUUCUGCACCGUCUUGGAUAAUUCCUCUCGACUAAUUGCUGCUCCCUCCCCCACAACAGGGUUGAUUAUAAACAAACGAUUGACUUAAAAAUCUAUCCUCUGCUCUACUCCUUUUUUUGCUUGCUUACUCCAUUUUUAUUUUUAAAUCUGUGAUUUUUUUUUUUUAGGGGGAAAUUUUUUUUUUGUUUCUAGAACAACCAGCUUGCAUGCACCCACGCUACUCACUAUAUUAUGUUAUGCCAUAAUGUGCAUUCUGGUUGCGUAUUUUUUUGACACUCAUCUGUUGACUCCCGGUUAUAUCUCACUGUGUAUUUUUGACCCUCAUAAGCACUUGCUUUUAGCACUCAGAAUAUGUGACUCACAGGAAUGAUGGUGGUUCUGGCUUGCAGUACUUCACCAUCUGUGUUGUUUAAAAUUAAACCUCCUUUUAAAUACUAACUUGUAUCAAAGUGCUUUUCUUAACGGGCUGUAGGAUUCAUCCAGGUCUUUCACGACCUCUUUAAAGCACACACAAAUUGUCUGCGUAGCCCACAGCUCAUUUCAACUUGUGGGUCACGUUUCCUUAAUGAAAAAAUCCCAAAGCCUAUUAUUGCUAUUGUAAAAGCAACGUAUAACUUGCAAACAAUACUAUUUCAAUAGGAUGUGCGUCUUCAUAGAGAUAGGACUGUAUUGUGGUGAUUGAUCUUUCUUUUAGCUUGUUCUUAACUGUUUAGCAUUGUAGUUUAAGUUGAGUAUCUGGUCACUACUGCUUUGCUCUCAUAACUGUACAGAAAGUGGAAGCUAGCUUUUUGCUUUAAAAUUAGGUGACACAAAUAAAAUGUUUGCAUCCUCUCUCCAUUAGCUCUGCACCAGCAGUAAAUUAUGGGUCAGAAUUGAUCUAAUUUAAAAAGGCCUGGAAUCUUUUAUUUCCCCUUCAGUUAGAAAUAUUUCUUCAUCUUAUGCAUUUAGCUGGGAGAACUCAUUUCUAAGGUAUGUGUGUAUAUGUGUGUGCGUGUAUAUGUAUAGAAAGCUUCCCACACACCUAAUAUCCUUAUAUUAAAGUGUUUGAAAUGCACUUGAACAAUAAGGUUGAUGGAUAGUUUUAACAAAUGAAGCUGAAAUGGUAACCUGCAGUGACAGAUAUGGAAAAACCCAAGUAUUUAUCUCCAUAUUAAUAAAUGCUUGGUUCCCAUCAGUGCAAUACCUGAGCAUCUCCCAUGUAGUUAAAAGUAGAACGAGCAAUAGCACUCUUAUUCUUCCACCUUAUAGGAGAAAGUACUUUACUAACUUUUGUGUAGCAUGACGGUGUGAGGAGCCUAAAAAAAUCUUUUAGACCUAAAUUUCCUUCCUUCACAAAUUUGUGAGGUUAAUCCAUGUUACUGCACUAUUUAAUCUUCUAGUAAUCAAGAGGAUAGGAGUUAGAAUAGUAUUACUUGCGAAUUCAAGUGCUGCAUAUAAUUUUUUUAUAUUACAGUCUGUAAUUAGUUACCCUGGAGACUAUUAGCAAGCAGUACAAAAAUACAUUUUUGUAAAUGUUGUAGUGUUGGUUGUGCUGGAGAGGAUAUUUUUGGAGAAGGACAGGUUCUUUUGAUUAUUUUUUUUCCUCCUAAUCAUAUCAGAAGGAGGAAGCCAAAACUGAAAGACAAAGAUGAACUAAGAUUUCUCAAGUUGAUUUUUCAUUACUUCGUCACUGAAAGCCCUCAAUCUACCAUCAUAAAAUCUUAAUCACCUCUCUGUUUCAAUGAGUAAUUCUUAAAGCAUCAGAGAAAGGCAUCACUUUAGUUGGCUGUUUGCUUUAAUGAGAUCUACUCUAUCAAAAAUCCUUGGAUGUUGAAGGUUUGGGAUGCUGCUGAUCUUUGAAGGGAACAUCUGCAAUUGCUUCCCCCUUAAAAGUACUUGGCAUAUAUGAUUAGUGGUUAAGAAAAGUAGCACUUGGAACAAAUUGCUAUUCCUGUUUUCAAAGGGGUCUUAGCUAUUACACUGGGACUAUUUAGAAAGUCAGAUGUUAUUAAUUAUAAGUAAAGGUAUCCGAAUCCGCACCCCCUUCUCCCCCCUGCCAUGCUUCUUUAUUAUUAUUUUUUUAAAUCUUCCCCAAACCUUUCUUUUUUCUGCUUGGUAUUUACACUUUCUUUCUAUAUUUUCUUUUGCAUGCUUUCCUGGCUGGAUUGCAAUAGAGAAGAAGAAAUUGAGGCCAAGACUGAAAAUGUGCAAAAGCCUGGCUUUCUCAAAGGCCCGGUGUUCAAAGGCGUUGCUUCUAGUCGCUUUUUGCCCAAAGGCACGAAAACAAAGGUGAACCUUGAGGAGCAAGGAAGACAGAAGGUGUCUUUCAGCUUCAGUUUAACAAAGAAAACCUUGCAAAAUAGAUUUCUCACGGCUCUUGGAAGCGAAAAACAAAAUGAAACUCAGAACUCCCCUGCUACAUCCCUUCAAACUGACUUCGCCCCCAAAAUUAAAAUGGACCUUGGCGAUACCUCUGCAGCGGAAGACUCUUCGCCACCAAAGCCUAAGGUGGAAUUGGGCAAGAUCCAUUUUAAAAAGCAUCUGCUUAGUGUUACGGCAAAACCACUGGCAGCUACAGCCUCAGUGCCACCACCAGCAGCUUUAGCACCUGUAAUGGAGUUGGUGGCGGCAGUGGCGACAGAUAUUCCAACAACGCCGCCGCCGCCACCGCCGCCGCCGCCUCCCCAGACAGCGUCGCCACCAGCAUCGACACCAGUCCUAAUGACAGCAGCUUUGUCGCAACUGCCAAUCCCAUUACCAACAAUAGUAAUACCGCUGCUGUCGCCAGCUGUAGAAGCAGACGUCCCAACUCCAAAGGAGCCAUCUAAUACGCUAGCAAAAGAACCUUUAGAACUGAGCCUUAAGCAGGAUACUGUUUCUAUUAGUUUUGAAGAACAUUUAACUCAAAAUAUAGCCGAGCAAACAGAAACAACUCUGCAGAAGGAAGAUUCCCAUAUUGGGAAGGAGGAAGACGUUUCGGACGGCUCCAAGGGCAUUUCUCUUUGCGCCAAAAAACAGGGCUCCAAGAGGAAGUUCUCGCAAUCUGAUGGCCCAGUACUGGGUUCCGAGUCCGACGAAGACUCUGUGAGGACGUCUUCCAGCCAGAGAUCCCACGAACUAAAAGUAUCAAGUACGGAAAAGGAAAAAGAUCCGAGGAAGUGUUCCACCUCUUUCAGAAGUGAGGAUCUGGGGAAAUGCUCCUCGCGCUCCAAACCGGACAGAGAGGAAAAAUAUUCUAGUUACUCCAAAUCAGAAAGAGACUCCAGGUAUACAUCCUCACGCUCUCGGUCAGACAGGGACAGAAGACGGAGCAGGUCUCACUCUCGAUCCAGAUCUGAUAGAGGCUCUAGAACCAGCUCUUCCUAUUCAAGAUCAGAACGGUCUUAUUACUAUGAGUCUGACCGGAGGUACCAUAGAAGUUCCCCCUACAGAGAGAGGACGAGAUAUUCUCGUUCUUACAUGGAUAACAGGAUGAGGGAGAGUUCGGAUUCGGAAGAGGAGUAUCGGAGGACACAUUCCCGGUCAAGUGACUUGAGGCGCACAUCAUCUCAUUCCUCCUCGUAUAGAGAGUCCAGAACUUCUUCCUAUUCGAAAUCAGACAGGGACAGCAAAAUAGAAUCGUCUUAUGCCGAAAUGGAGCGAAGAGGGAAGUCGUCUUCAAAAUCAGAUCGCGACUCGAAAAGGAGCUUGGAAAGCGAAGCAGCAAAAAGGUGCUCUCCCCUGAACGAACUGGGAUAUCGAAGGGGGACUUCCCAUUCUAAACCCGACAGCAAUGUGAACUCUUCCCGUUAUAAGUCCACACCUUCAAAGACAUCUGCACCAAAGUCGGAUAAAUUUAAAAGUUCUUUCUGUUGUACAGAAUUGGUUGAGGAAAUCAAACAGCAUUCUAAUUCUUUAGAUUUAGACACGUCUUGUCUGAAAAGCAGUGAGUUAAGGAUGUCUAUUUCGAAAAAAUGUGAAAGGGAAAAGACUGUUUCUCCAUUAAAUCAGUUAAAUGAUUCGCCUACUUUUAAAAAGCUAGAUGAGUUGAAAGUCAGCUCUCCUCGUUCCAAAUCUGAUGAAUUUACAGGAAAUGAAUGCCACGACAGUAUUAAUGAACAAGAAACUUUAUUAAAGGUAAAGCACGAUCAGUUAAGAACUUACUAUCCCAUUGAACUGAAUCUAAAUGGUUCCCCAGAAGGUAGGUCUGAUGACUUACCAACUUUCGGUGCCUGCAAAGCAGAAGACGUUGCGAUAUCCUCUGACGAUAGUCAGUGUAGAACAGAGGUGUUGCCUCUAAAGUCUAAUAGAUCACGUAUGUUGGCAUCUAAUGGGUUUGAAAGUGUAUACAAGUCACCUAAAGGACAAGAUCUGGAUAAUUCUCACAUACAGUCCAAUGAAUGCAACAGUUCAUUUAAAGAAACGGAGGCUCCCGCUCCAGUCCAAGAUGAGGUUAUAUCUUCACCAGCUCUCGGUGUAGAUAAUUCUAAAACGUUACUUAAAAAUUGGGAUGACCAGACAGCUCCUUGUAACAAAACCAAAGAUCCGGUCUCUUGCUAUGUUUCCAAUGACACUAAUCCUUCCUUACAUCGUUCAGAAAUCGAAAUGGAACCCACUGAUAUAAAAGUUACUCAAGAAACUUUUAUGGACAUUCACGUAGAGCCACAAACGGUUACGUGCGAGUAUGAAAAUGCAGAGGAUCGAAAUUCCAGCUCUUCGUUUGAAGAUGAACCAUGUUCUGUUAAUCCCUCCCAUAAACUAAGCUUAAUUGUAGAUAGUUCAAGCCGAGAUUCUUGCCAAGAAGAGUGCUCCUUGAAAAUGAACAUAGACAAUCUAAUUAUUACACACCACCUAGAGGAAACUUAUGCUUCCAAAGUGUAUCGAGCCAGGCUGAAUAAAAGCGAAGAAUUCUUGGAGUGCUCUGAGACUGAAGAGAUACUUGAAUUAGAUGGCCAGCAUAUGGAGCCCGACUUUCAAAAAAGAAAACCAUCAUUUAAAAAUGAGCAUUCGUAUUAUUUAGAUGUACCAGUGGGACACCUGGAGAGAGAGGAAGCAGUUGAGGAGAGUUCUGUCUUUGAAAAACCUGGCUUGGAUGACUUGAAGGACCAGCCUCUCGACACUUCAGUGGAUAGGGAGGAAAGAGCAGAGUCCCUGGUGGUGUCGGCUUUUCCAGAAGCUUUGCUUCCAUCGUGUGAUAUUGUUGUGACUGCAGAAGAAAUGGACACUGUGGCUCAAGCCCCGACAUGCGAUAGUAGUGGCAGUACUUCUGAAUUCAUUCCUGCCCACCCUGACGAUUAUUCUGAUACGGCAGAAAGCGAGAGUGAGCAAGGGAGCGAAGAAAGCGAUACAGAGGACUCUGACUCGGAUGAUGGUAUCCCAAGGAACCGUCUUCAGUCGGUUGUAGUAAUCCCCAAAAAUUCUACUAUAACGAUGGAGGAAAGCAGUCCUUGUUCAUCUCGGAGCAGCCAGGACAAUAGGCGGUACUCUGAUCAUUGGGAAGACGACCGGCCAGAGCCCAGCAAACUUUACUAUGAAGAAAGGCCAGAUAAUACAGCAAACAAAAACGGGUCACAGAUGGAGAGCAAAGGUUCUCCUAGGGGAAUGGAUAAGAGCCCGGCAACAUCUACUGAGCUCAGUAGAAAGGAAACGGAAGACCUCCAACUAGACAUUUCUCAGCCGCAGAGCGAUGGAGUUGACAGUACAAGUCAGGCGGACCUAACCUCAAAUUCUAACAGCAAACCAAGUUCAGAGGAAAGAAUGCUCUCAAACGAGUUGAUGUCCAUAGCCAGGCCAACUGGCAGGCACGAAGAACAGCCCUUUUGCCUUUCGGAGAGCUUUGAAAGUGAUGAAAAUAAAUGUAGGCAGCAGACGCAUUCUUUUAAGCCAGACAGUAGACAAGGGAAGGCUGGAUUCAGUAAUCAGGCUGGUUUAGGAGACUUCUCUAGGGUGGAUGGAUUUCAUUCGACAGAAGAUCUGGGGAGCCUAGGGUGGGACUUCUCCCAACCAGAGAAACCCAGUAGCACAUAUCAGCAGCCUGAUAGCAGCUAUGGGAUAUACUCAGGUUAUGCCUACCAGCAAAGUUCAGCGCUGUAUAGUGGUUCACAGAAUUACUGGCAAGGCAAUGGUUAUUGGGACCCAAGAUCCAGCAGUAGGCCUUCCGCAAUGAAUUGUGAACGAACACAGGGGCAAGUACCAGAUUCGUUAACGGAGGACCACGAGGAGUAUGAAGAUGACGAUAAUUGGGAUGACGAUUGCAAGCCUCACUUCCCUAGCCACUCGAGCAAGUUUCAUGCUCUCAGCCAAAAGGAAAAAGGUUCUGUUCAGGCACACGAAAUCAGCAGCAAUUCGACAAAAGAGCCAGUCUCUGUAAAUGAGAAGAAAGAAGAGACAAAGAUUUUGGAGAAAAGUGACAUGAAAGAGCGAGGACCACCCAAGAAAAGAAGGCCAGAAGUGGAAAGCGACUCGGAGAGUGAUGGAGACUCGAGAGAAAGGAAGAAAGUAAAGAUGGAGGGAGAACAGGUGGAGUCAUUGCCUCGGGAUUCGGCAAUGGUCGGUCGAUUGUGCAUCAUGGAUGACUUCAGAGACCCGCAGCGUUGGAAGGAGUUUGCCAAGCAAGGAAAAAUGCCCUGUUACUUUGACCUUAUUGAGGAAAACGUGUAUUUAACGGAAAGGAAGAAGAACAAGUCCCACCGGGAUAUCAAGCGGAUGCUGUGUGAAUGUCCGCCCCUUUCCAAAGAAGAGAGAGGCCAAGGGGAAGUGGCUUGCGGAGAAGACUGUCUCAAUCGCCUGCUCAUGAUAGAGUGUUCUUCCAGGUGCCCAAAUGGAGACUACUGUUCCAACAGGCGGUUCCAGAAGAAACAGCAUGCAGACGUUGAAGUGAUCCUGACCGAGAAGAAAGGCUGGGGGUUGAGAGCUGCCAAAGACCUCCCAUCUAACACGUUUGUGUUGGAGUACUGUGGAGAAGUGCUGGAUCACAAAGAGUUCAAAGCCCGGGUGAAAGAGUAUGCUCGCAACAAGAACAUACACUACUACUUUAUGGCUCUGAAAAAUGAUGAGAUAAUAGAUGCUACGCAGAAAGGAAACUGUUCCCGUUUCAUGAACCACAGCUGUGAACCAAACUGCGAGACACAAAAGUGGACCGUGAAUGGACAGCUAAGAGUUGGAUUUUUCACCACCAAGCUUGUCCCAUCAGGCUCAGAGCUAACAUUUGACUACCAGUUCCAGAGAUAUGGCAAAGAGGCUCAGAAAUGCUUCUGCGGCUCUGCUAACUGCCGGGGUUACCUUGGAGGAGAGAACAGGGUCAGCAUCAGAGCUGCAGGUGGAAAAAUGAAAAAGGAGCGCUCUCGUAAGAAGGAUUCGGUGGAUGGGGAGUUAGAAGCACUGCUGGAGAACGGAGAAGGUCUUUCAGAUAAGAACCAAGUUCUCAGUUUAUCCCGGCUGAUGGUUCGGAUAGAGACACUGGAGCAGAAACUCACCUGCCUCAAACUCAUACAGAACACGCAUUCGCAAGCCUGCCUGAAGUCCUUCCUCGAAUGCCAUGGCUUAUCUCUCCUCUGGAUCUGGAUGACGGAGCUGGGCGACGGGAGAGGGAGCACCGCUAACAACCUGAAACUCCAGCUAGAGUUCAUGAAGACGCUGGAGCUUUUGCCCAUACCUAAUAAAAACAUGCUGGAGGAGAGCAAAGUGCUUCCUAUCAUACAGCGCUGGGCUCAGACCAAGACCGCUGUCCCGCAGCUCAGCGAAGGGGAUGGCUACUCGAGUGAGAAUACGUCGAGGGCCCACACACCGCUCAACACGCCAGACCUUUCCACCAAACACAGCAUAGAAGGCGAGACGGACACCCCGAAGAAGCUUGUAUUUCGAAGGCUCAAAAUUAUAAGCGAAAACAGCAUGGACAGUGCAAUCUCUGAUACUACCAGUGAGCUGGAGGGGAAGGAGGGCAAAGAAGACCUGGACCAGCUGGACAGUGCCCCUGCGGAGGUGCCGGAGGAGGAGCAGCAGCAGCCGCCGGAGAUCAAAGCUGCUAUCGAUGCCCCGGUGGACAGCAGCAAACCCCAGACUGCUGAGCUGGAGACUGAGCCCGAAGCCGAGGCCAAAGAGAGCAACGGCACAAAGCUAGAAGAGCCCAUUGCCAUGGAAACGCCAUCUCAAGAUGAAGAGGAAGGUGUGUCUGACGUAGAGAGCGAGAGGAGCCAAGAGCAGACUGACAAGAUAGUGGAUGUGAGCGAGUUGGCUACCAAGUUGCUAGACAACUGGAAAGACCUCAAGGAGGUGUAUCGAAUCCCAAAGAAGAGUCAAGCAGAAAAGGAGAACAGCGCAGAUCGCGGGAGAGAUGCAGUAGGUCAGAGGGACCAAACUGCUACGCCCAAGAAUCCAAACCUGAGCAGAGAACGAGACCCAGAGAGGCAGAGCCAGAGUAAAGAGAAAAAGAAACGGAGAGAUUCACUGUCCCCGCCAUCUUCAGCAUAUGAGCGAGGAACCAAGAGGCCAGAUGACAGGUAUGACACACCAGCAUCCUCCAAGAAGAAAGUACGGCUCAAGGAUCGCAACAAGCUGUCCACGGAAGAACGUCGGAAACUGUUCGAGCAGGAGGUCGCCCAGCGGGAGGCUCAGAAACAGCAGCAGCAACUGCAGAACCUCGGGAUGACCUCCCCGCUCCCCUACGAAUCCAUGGGCUACGGGGGUUCUCACCACAGCUUCAUUGGCUAUCCCCCGGGCUACCCCAUGCAAGCUUACGUGGAUCCUAGCAACCCCAAUGCUGGGAAGGUGCUUCUCCCCACUCCAACCAUGGAUCCCAUGUGCUCCCCGGCAGCCUAUGAGCAUCCCCAGACUUUAGUCGGACACACGGUUGAACCGACCUUGACCACGCCGCAGCCGGUACCAGUAGUACAACAUGUAGCAACAACGAUGGAGGUUACCACCCCGCAGUAUGUAGCACAAAGUGACACCGUCGUUCAUCAGGAACCUAGCGUCGCUGUCUUGCCAGUGCCUGCACCGGGUCCGGUGCAGGGACAGAGUUAUGGCAUAUGGGAUUCCAGCCAGCAGACUGUCGCUGUACAACAGCAGUACUCUCCGGCCCAGUCGCAACCAGCCAUAUAUUACCAGGGACAGACCUGCCAGACUGUUUAUGGUGUGACAUCACCUUAUUCUCAGACAACUCCGCCAAUUGUACCGAGUUACGCACAGCCAGGUCUUCAGUACAUCCAGGGGCAGCAGAUUUACACAGCGCAUCCACAGGGAGUAGUGGUACAACCAACAACAGCAGUAACAACCAUCGUGGCAGCUGGCCAGCCUCAGCCCAUACAGCAGCCUGAGAUGGUGGUGACCAACAAUCUCCUGGAUUUGCCGCCGCCGUCUCCUCCAAAACCUAAAACCAUCGUCCUCCCUCCCAACUGGAAAACAGCCCGAGAUCCAGAAGGGAAGAUCUACUAUUACCAUGUGAUUACAAGACAAACUCAGUGGGAUCCUCCUAACUGGGACAGCCCAGGAGAUGAUGCCAGUCUUGAACAUGAAGCCGAAAUGGACCUUGGGACCCCGACGUAUGAUGAAAACCCAAUGAAGGUAGCAUCUUCUGUGCCCUUUGAACUCCUCAGCCCCAGCCUUCGCUGCUAACUGCUCUAAGGCAUUUUCAUUUGAUUCGGUCCCCCACUGCUACCAGAUCAGGAGCCCUCUUCUACAUUACAGCCCUGCUGGCAUCUUGUGCACCCUCGAGAGGGGCCACCGCUUUGCAGACUGUCCAGUGGGAAAAUAGUACGGCCAAAUCGAGAAUGAGGUCAAGCACUGAGAAGAGCUGAGGCAUGACCCUUCCAAGCGAUGGGCCAGCUACAGGUCUCAUAAGCACAGCAGCUUCCUUGCUUCUCGUGCAGUAACAACUCCCACAGAAGGCACUGGAGCAAGGAAUGGCAUUCGUAGGGAGGCAUCCGAGGCCCCUGGCAGGAGUUACAUUUAUCUC